GACCGCCUGCAGACCCAUUACUGUUUUGUAGAUUAAAAUAAAGACUGCAAAAGGAGGGAGCUUGGGGGAAGGAAAGAGAAGAGAAAGAGAAUAGCAAAACACUUUGUUCCAAUUCAGGGAAGUGGAUGAGGUCACAGGACUGGGAGAGUACUUGCUGGCCGUCAGGAGGAUGGUGAAGUCGACAUGUCAAAAAGAGCAGAGUGCUGCUGUGGAUGAAGAAAGUGGGCUAUUAAGUACAAAAGGUGCUUAUUGACCUGGUUGAUGUACCAUGACAAGCAGUGAGAAGCUAAUCUGUUAUUGUCCAGAUUUCAAGUAGAAGGACAGAGCCUUUCAGCAGUGCCAGCCAGUCUGAAUUUCCCACUCAUGGAGGAGCAGAGGAGAUACCGCCUUCAUUCUCAGGCAACAAUUUUUUGAAAAAUUGUGCUGGGUAGUACUGAAGCUGCUGGACUGGCCCCAGGCCCAAAUACGUACAAGAGCAUAGAGAGACCGACUGUUCCUCCCAGCCCUGUGUCACACCAGGCCCUGCACAGCCGACUGAAUCAUCACAGCGGUACCAAAGGAGACUUUUCCAAGCUCUUAACAUACCACGAAGGGACAGUCCCGGAGACCCCAAUAUUUAACCAUCCCAGGUCGUGGCAAUGUGUCUGUAGAAGCAGGGUCCCAGCUUGCUUUGGUUCUCUUAACGACAGUGGGCAAGUUACUUCACUCCUCUGGGCUUGUGCUGCCCUUUGCAUUUUCAGUUUGAACGUAAAUCAUUCAGGCUGAAAGUAAAGAAUUUAAGCCACAUUCUGGACUUGUGCUAAAGCCGUUCCCAAUGGACCACAUAUAAAGAAGUACCUGAUUAAUUAAGAUGAAUGGUCAAAGGCAGCUGAGUCCAGCCCCACCGCACUUUCUGUCCUAUUGACUUCUAUAGCAGGUGCCCCUUAACCAUGAUGGCUCAUGGCUCCCACAGACCUUUAAGUAAUCAUAAAUACAAACCAUAUUUCAUAUAUUUGAUAAGCUGAUUCAGUAUCUCUAGGCACUGUUAAUCAGGAGAUAGAUAGGGCAUCACUGCUGGCUAAAGUGUACAAGAACUUUAUAUGUCUUUUUAAAAACAGUAAUUUAGAGUAAGCUUUUGAGCACUGCUGUCUUUACAUUUUCCUUUCUUCUUGCUUUUGUGUAUAAAUGCAUAUAUGCAUUCCUUUAAGAAAGACUGCCUGCUUGCAAGUGUGUUAGGCAAGCAGAGAUUUUGCCGGCGACCCAGCAGUCAGGUCCAGAAACACCGUCCAGCUUUUACAACAGUGACGACCCAGAGGCGCCAGCUCACCAGUGCACCCACUGGGAGUCACUGGGAGAGCACACCCAGAGAGGGCACUGCUGGCGGGGAGAGCUUACACCACUCAUACCUAAGCAAAACUGGGAAAUAAUCCUUCCGGGAUGGCGCAGUGCAUCUGGGCAACUCCGCCAGUGCAAAUUUCUCUAUCCAGAACAAGCCAAGAGUCAUUUCUGGCCAAAAUUCCAGCACUAGCUGCUUGAGUAAGUGAUUUUUCCUGAGCUCGUGAUGCAAGUCUUUUUGUCAGAGAGGGCUUCUGGCGGGGCGCUGGAGUCCUGCUUCCCUGUCGGACGCUUUCGCCACUCACUGAUCCAGCCCACCACACAGCCAGUCAGGCCUGUCACCUGCAGCAAGCUCCCCCGUUGGAAAAACAUGCAAUUUUCCUAAGGUAAGGGAGUCUUGGGUUACUAGGAACACAAAUCAUUAUGAGUAAAACUGCAUUCCCAAUUUAUUGUAUUUGUUUUAUUUAUAAUUUUAUUACUUAUUCCACAUUUUCCAUAUUUUCCAUGUGCUUCACGUCAUUCUUGUCCACUCAGGCCUUUACAUGGAAACUUGGGCUCUUCUCCACUGCCUAAUGUGUUGAAGGCUUCAUAAACAGUCUUGUUUCAUUGUUUGCUCUGCCUGUUUCCAUCCUGGUGGGUGACUGAAGUUAUGUUCGGUACAAGUCUGACUGUUCUAGGAGCUGGGGAGCAAGAUUGGGAGGAGGGGGAGAAGGGAAGAAAAACAGCUAUUAAUGUGAUAAGCCACAGAAGAUAAAGACCAUCAAAUUAUUCAGCUGAAGCUCUAACAAAGAAGAUUUGGAGACUCUGAUCUGUUUGCUCCAUGUUAGGCAUUAAGUUGUCAAAGACAGGUUUUUCCAUGUGCAGCAGUCAAGGCUGAGGACUGGACAACACGUUGCAUGUGCAUAGCUUGAUCUCCCACCUUGAUCUCAUAAAAUACAGUCCGCUGAAGGAAGAGGAGACUCUUCCCGACGCUGGUGGGGCUAGCUCCCUUCCCUGCUCUGCCAGGCUGCUUCUGCAACGUAAUACCGUGCAUCUGCGUGCACAGAUGCUUCACUGUCUCACCCUGUCCUAGAUGUGCAGGCUUUUUUCAUGCUCACGUCUGAGUGUAAUAUGUGAGCAAAGCAGGAGUGUUCAGCAACGCCGCUUUCAGCUGCGUUUUCAAGGUUUUGUGUCAGCAGGAACGUUGGGUCAGUUGGCAAACAGCUUUUUGUUUUGCUGUCAUUCAGCUCUUGAGCACAUUUACACCAUCUCAUAUAUUUUUCAUUAGUCUUGCACCCUCAGUGACAACCCUAUCAAUUCAUGAGCGUGUUCGUCCUGAGUUAGUUCAGUCCCACAAGUAGUGAAUGCCAUACAUAAACCUGAAUAAUCUCUUGGAUAGAAAAAAGGAUGUUCACUUCCUGGAAAAAAAAAAACUGUCAGUUUUUAUCUAGAUUUUAUAGCUGUUUUUUCAUUAUUAUUUUAGGAACUCAAAAAACAAUGUAGCAUUUGAUGGCAAAGGAGGGGCAGGGAGACUGGAUUAAAACAUCUGGUGAUGUAAUUAGAUUCACUAAAAAGUUUACACUCCAAACUGCACCUCCGUAAUUGAUGGGACUGUUGUGAUGUGUCACUUCCACUUACUCGAUUAAGCGGCCGCAUUUGCCGAGCUGCACCCUGCACUAACCCUUGUGGCUGACCUGCUGCAGCUCCCCUAUUAGAGCCGCAAUUACGGGGUGACUCUUAAUAGCGAGGUCUUGCUUCAGAGUGGGGAAAAAUGUUUCUGUAGCUCACAUGCAACAAUUAAAGAUAAUUUAAAAUGUAA